UACGUAGGGUGCAAGCGUUGUCCGGAAUUAUUGGGCGUAAAGAGCUCGUAGGCGGUCUGUCGCGUCGGCUGUGAAAACUCGGGGCUCAACCCCGAGCCUGCAGUCGAUACGGGCAGACUAGAGUCCGGCAGGGGAGACUGGAAUUCCUGGUGUAGCGGUGAAAUGCGCAGAUAUCAGGAAGAACACCCGUGGCUAAGGCGGCUCUCUAGUACGGUACUGACGCUGAGACGCGAAAGCGUGGGGAGCGAACAGG
rnacentral:rRNA from 1 species